rnacentral:misc_RNA from 1 species
CCACCCUCAAGCCCUGGCUGCUUGGUGUUGGGGCGCUACAGUCCGCUGUAGGCCCCGAAGAACAGUGGCGGUCUCGCCGGGACCCCGAGCGCAGUACUCUCUCGCUCAGGGCGACCGGCGAGGCCCCCGUAGCCUCACAA